AGAGUUUGAUCCUGGCUCAGGACGAACGCUGGCGGCGUGCUUAACACAUGCAAGUCGAACGGAAAGGCCCUGCUUUUGUGGGGUGCUCGAGUGGCGAACGGGUGAGUAACACGUGAGUAACCUGCCCUUGACUUUGGGAUAACUUCAGGAAACUGGGGCUAAUACCGGAUAGGAGCUCCUGCUGCAUGGUGGGGGUUGGAAAGUUUCGGCGGUUGGGGAUGGACUCGCGGCUUAUCAGCUUGUUGGUGGGGUAGUGGCUUACCAAGGCUUUGACGGGUAGCCGGCCUGAGAGGGUGACCGGCCACAUUGGGACUGAGAUACGGCCCAGACUCCUACGGGAGGCAGCAGUGGGGAAUAUUGCACAAUGGGCGGAAGCCUGAUGCAGCAACGCCGCGUGCGGGAUGACGGCCUUCGGGUUGUAAACCGCUUUCGCCUGCGACGAAGCGUGAGUGACGGUAAUGGGUAAAGAAGCACCGGCUAACUACGUG
rnacentral:rRNA from 1 species